rnacentral:rRNA from 1 species
AACGUAGGUCCCGAGCGUUAUCCGGAUUUACUGGGCGUAAAGCGCGUUCAGGCGGUGGGCUAAGUCGGGCAUGAAAUCCUUCGGCUCAACCGAGGGAGGUUGUCCGAUACUGGCGCACUUGAGGGCAGUAGAGGGUGGUGGAAUUCCGGGUGUAGUGGUGAAAUGCGUAGAGAUCCGGAGGAACACCAGUGGCGAAGGCGGCCACCUGGACUGCCCCUGACGCUGACACGCGAAAGCUAGGGGAGCGAAC